UCCCCUGUCCCUGAACACACUGACUAUAAACAUGAGAUGGAGUUGGGUCUUUCUUUUCCUCCUGUCAGUAACUGCAGGUGUUCACUCCGAGAUUCAGCUGCAGCAGUCUGGAGCUGAGCUGGUGCGGCCUGGGGCUUCAGUGAAGAUGUCCUGCAAGGCUUCUGGCUAUGAAUUCAACAGCUAUUAUAUGAGCUGGGUGAAACAGAGUCAUGGAAAGAGCUUUCAGUGGAUUGGGACGAUUGGUCCUUAUGGUGGUACUGACUACAAUGAGAAGUUCAAUGGCAAGGCCACAUUGACUGUAGACAAAUCCUCCAGCACAGCCUACAUGGAGCUUAGCAGAUUGACAUCUGAGGACUCUGCGAUCUAUUACUGUGCAAGACACACUGUGGCAACCACAUCCUGA